UAAAAAAAACAAAACAAAAAAGAUUGCUCCCGGUGAGGCUCGAACUCACGACCUUCAGAUUAUGAGACUGACGCGCUGCCUACUGCGCUACGGAAGCA